rnacentral:misc_RNA from 1 species
CCCAAGAAUUGGACCAGAGGAAAGCUUCAGAAUCUCAGUUGAAGGAAGAUGUCUUGGCAUUGGAGAAUUUGCUCGGUGCAACUAAAGAAGAUCUUCAAGCAAAGGUUUCUGAGUUAGAAGGCAAUAAGUUGAAGCUGCAAGAGGAAGUUAAUGCAAGGGAAUUGGUUGAAGCAGCGAUGCAAAAAUAUGAGGGACAGGUCUCAGCUAUACAUGAAGAAUUAGCAAAAGUAAUGAAAGAAAAAGAAGCUCUUGAGGCAACUGUAACAGAUCUCACUAGCAAUGCAGC